GGCCCGCACAAGCGGUGGAGUAUGUGGUUUAAUUCGAUGCAACGCGAAGAACCUUACCAGGGUUUGACAUCCUGCGAAUCUCUUGGAAACGAGAGAGUGCCUUCGGGAGCGCAGUGACAGGUGGUGCAUGGCUGUCGUCAGCUCGUGUCGUGAGAUGUCAGGUUAAGUCCUAUAACGAGCGCAACCCCCUAUCGUUAGUUGCCAGCAUUUUAGUUGGGCACUCUAGAGAGACCGCCGGUGAUAAACCGGAGAAGGUGUGGAUGACGUCAAGUCAUCAUGCCCCUUACAUCUGGGCUACACACGUACUACAAUGCUACGGACAAAGAGCAGCAAGUUCGCGAGGACAAGCAAAUCUCAUAAAACCGUGGCUCAGUUCAGA
rnacentral:rRNA from 1 species